rnacentral:misc_RNA from 1 species
CCAAUAGCGUAUAUUAAAGUUGUUGCAGUUAAAAAGCUCGUAGUUGAAUUUCGGGAUCAAUAUGCUGGUCGUGCCUUUGGUACGUACUGGCAUUAUUGAUUUCUCCUUUCUGAAGAACCUUGAUGUCAUUAAUUUGGUGUCUUGGGGAAUCAGGACCGUUACUUUGAAAAAAUUAGAGUGUUUAAAGCAGGCUCACGCUUGAAUACAUUAGCAUGGAAUAAUGAAAUAGGACGUUUGAUUCUAUUUUGUUGGUUUCUAGGAUCGACGUAAUGAUUAAUAGGGAUAGUUGGGGGCAUUAGUAUUAAAUUGUCAGAGGUGAAAUUCUUGGAUUUAUUGAAGACUAACUACUGCGAAAGCAUUUGCCAAGGAUGUUUUCAUUAAUCAAGAACGAAAGUUAGGGGAUCGAAGACGAUCAGAUACCGUCGUAGUCUUAACCAUAAACUAUGCCGACUAGGGAUCGGAUGAUGUUAAUUUUUUAAUGACUCAUUCGGCGCCUUACG